AUUGAACGCUGGCGGCAUGCUUUACACAUGCAAGUCGAACGGCAGCGCGGGCUUCGGCCUGGCGGCGAGUGGCGAACGCGUGAGUAAUACAUCGGAACGUGCCCAGUAGUGGGGGAUAGCUCGGCGAAAGCCGGAUUAAUACCGCAUACGACCUGAGGGUGAAAGCGGGGGAUCUUCGGACCUCGCGCUAUUGGAGCGGCCGAUGGCAGAUUAGCUAGUUGGUGGGGUAAAGGCCUACCAAGGCGACGAUCUGUAGCUGGUCUGAGAGGACGACCAGCCACACUGGGACUGAGACACGGCCCAGACUCCUACGGGAGGCAGCAGUGGGGAAUUUUGGACAAUGGGCGAAAGCCUGAUCCAGCAAUGCCGCGUGUGUGAUGAAGGCCUUCGGGUUGUAAAGCACUUUUGGCGGGAACGAAAAGGACUGUGCCAAUACCACGGUUCGAUGACGGUACCCGCAGAAUAAGCACCGGCUAACUACGUG
rnacentral:rRNA from 1 species